UUUGCUUGUGUAUCUCAUAGUUUUUUCCCAAAAAACUGGUUUUCCGUUAAGCCAACCAAUCAGAUAUCCCGAUAAUGAAAAUUCGCAGCUAAGUUUCUUUUCGACGCCCUGUUGAAGGUAGGUAUUAGAUGUGAUACCAGUUUUAGAGGCCACUGUUGGCGCCCAGUGCGUUCAAAAUUUUUGCAACCUCUAAAUUCUGCUCGCGCAGCAUUCUUCGUCUCUGGCAGGGUCUGUGGUUCUUGACGAAUGCCGAAGAUUGAGUGCGAUUAAGAAGUUCCUGACGAUCAUGGAAAAUAAAUCAGGGAAGGGAGAAAAAAAAAAAGGGUGGAUCCAAGAUUUGUUUUGAAAAUUUGUAACCAAUAAUUUAUAGAUAUUAUGUAAUUAAACCCAAUCAUACUGUGGGCUCACCAGUAGCUGAAUGUAUAAGACUGCUGAACUAUGAUAGCUCCUGGUAAAUGGUAGUUCCUGGUAAAAAUGGUCAGUUAUGUGGCUAUUUUCAUGGUUUUUCACUACAUCAAAGCUAAGUGAUGCUCAAGGGCCUGCUAGUGUGAAAGUAUUAUUUUGUGUUUUCUCCGUCAAAUUUCUAUUGACCGCAAGAUGGCGCUACUCUUCUGCUACACUUUGUGAUGUUUAUAAUGAACAGAAAUGUACCAGAAACAGAUAUUGUCUUGUUAUAUGCAAAAUUUAAAAACAAUCUGUAGUAGUCAGAAAUUAUACAUUUCUUUUUAAUAAAAGUAUUUUUAUUUAGAAAGAAA
rnacentral:misc_RNA from 1 species